AGCUGGUUGGUGGGGUAACGGCCUACCAAGGCAACGACGGGUAGCUGGUCUGAGAGGACGAUCAGCCACAUUGGAACUGAGACACGGUCCAAACUCCUACGGGAGGCAGCAGUGAGGAAUAUUGGUCCAUGGACGAGAGUCUGAACCAGCCAAGUAGCGUGCAGGAUGACGGCCCUAUGGGUUGUAAACUGCUUUUAUAAGGGAAUAAAGUGAGUCUCGUGAGACUUUUUGCAUGUACCUUAUGAAUAAGGACCGGCUAAUUCCGUGCCAGCAGCCGCGGUAAUACGGAAGGUCCGGGCGUUAUCCGGAUUUAUUGGGUUUAAAGGGAGCGUAGGCCGGAGAUUAAGCGUGUUGUGAAAUGUAGAUGCUCAACAUCUGCACUGCAGCGCGAACUGGUUUCCUUGAGUACGCACAAAGUGGGCGGAAUUCGUGGUGUAGCGGUGAAAUGCUUAGAUAUCACGAAGAACUCCGAUUGCGAAGGCAGCUCACUGGAGCGCAACUGACGCUGAAGCUCCGAAAGUGCGGGUAUCGAACAGGAUUAGAUACCCUGGUAGUCCGCACGGUAAACGAUGGAUGCCCGCUGUUGGUCUGAAUAGGUCAGCGGCCAAGCGAAAGCAUUAAGCAUCCCACCUGGGGAGUACGCCGGCAACGGUGAAACUCAAAGGAAUUGACGGGGGCCCGCACAAGCGGAGGAACAUGUGGUUUAAUUCGAUGAUACGGGAGGAACCUUACCCGGGCUUGAAUUGCAGAGGAAGGAUUUGGAGACAAUGACGCCCUUCGGGGUCUCUGUGAAGGUGCUGCAUGGUUGUCGUCAGCUCGUGCCGUGAGGUGUCGGCUUAAGUGCCAUAACGAGCGCAACCCCUCUCCUUAGUUGCCAUCAGGUCAAGCUGGGCACUCUGGGGACACUGCCACCGUAAGGUGUGAGGAAGGUGGGGAUGACGUCAAAUCAGCACGGCCCUUACGUCCGGGGCUACACACGUGUUACAAUGGCAGGUACAGAGAGAUGGUGUUCUGCAGAGCGCAUCUAAUCCUUAAAGCCUGUCUCAGUUCGGACUGGGGUCUGCAACCCGACCCCACGAAGCUGGAUUCGCUAGUAAUCGCGCAUCAGCCAUGGCGCGGUGAAUACGUUCCCGGGCCUUGUACACAUCCGCC
rnacentral:rRNA from 1 species